UCUUCAUUUCCCACACUCUCUCACCGGUCCGAGAGGCGAGAGAGUGUGCAAAAUGAAGAGA
rfam:Pristionchus pacificus strain PS312 contig10430, whole genome shotgun sequence.